AACCCUUUUUUUCUUGAUCAGUGCAAGGCGUGCGCGAGAUUGCACCAUCCAGCGUGCUUUGCUGCGCCCCCGCCCAAGGAUCGUGAGCGGAGGAAGAGCCCUCGUCAACCUAACUGCUUCCACUGGAAAACAGUCUUGGCUUCAGGCUCUCCAGGAUGCCAAUCUUUGGACGGUUGUCUGGAGUCCAUGACUUCUGAACUUAAACUAAAUGGGGAGAAAGCCAUUCUCAUGGGAUCAGUCCCGCUGCUUAGGCCCUUCCCUUCCCUGGCAGAAGUCCAAGGCUGGCUCUGGCUGUGUGCAGCAGUGGUUGUACUCAGAAGCUGCUUCUCAAAACCAUUAAGAGGAAACCCACCUUGAAGAGGCAUCUCUGCCUACUUGGAGGUUCCUUUUGAAGGAAGACUGGUUGUCAUAAAGUCACUGGCAAGGCCUGUGACAUGAAGAGUGGCCUGAAGGACCGAAACAGCAAUGUAAGCUACUACAUACAUGGAAAUCCAAC